GAUGAACGCUGGCGGCGUGCCUAAUACAUGCAAGUCGAGCGAACUGAUUAGAAGCUUGCUUUUAUGACGUUAGCGGCGGACGGGUGAGUAACACGUGGGUAACCUGCCUGUAAGACGGGGAUAACUUCGGGAAACCGAAGCUAAUACCGGAUGAUAAAGAGAAACGCCUGUUUCUUUUUUGAAAGUCGGCCUUGUGCUGACGCUUACAGAUGGGCCCGCGGCGCAUUAACUAGUUGGUGAGGGAACGGCUCACCAAGGCGACGAUGCGUAGCCGACCUGAGAGGGUGAUCGACCACACUGGGACUGAGACACGGCCCAGACUCCUACGGGAGGCAGCAGUAGGGAAUCUUCGGAAUGGACGAAAGUCUGACCGAGCAACGCCGCGUGAGCGAUGAAGGCCUUCGGGUCGUAAAGCUCUGUUGUCAGAGAAGAACAAGUACCGGAGUAACUGCCGGUACCUUGACGGUACCUGACCAGAAAGCCACGGCUAACUACGUGCCAGCAGCCGCCGUAAUAC
rnacentral:rRNA from 1 species